rnacentral:rRNA from 1 species
UGCCAGCAGCCGCUGUAUUACUGAUUGGGUUACCGUUGUUCGGAAUUACUGGGCGUAAAGCGCGCGUAGGCGGACUAGUCAGUCAGAGGUGAAAUCCCAGGGCUCAACCCUGGAACUGCCUUUGAUACUGCUAGUCUUGAGUUCGAGAGAGGUAAGUGGAAUUCCGAGUGUAGAGGUGAAAUUCGUAGAUAUUCGGAGGAACACCAGUGGCGAAGGCGACUUACUGGCUCGAUACUGACGCUGAGGUGCGAGAGUGUGGGGAGCAAACAGGAUUAGAUA